rnacentral:rRNA from 1 species
UAACAAGGAUUCCCUUAGUAACUGCGAGUGAAGUGGGAAAAGCUCAAAUUUGAAAUCUGGCAGUUUUUGACUGUCCGAAUUGUAAACUAGAGAAGUGUUACCUGUACUGGACCAUGUACAAGUCUCCUGGAAUGGAGCAUCAUAGAGGGUGAGAAUCCCGUCUUUGACAUGGACUACCUGUGCAUUAUGGUGCGCUCUCAAAGAGUCGAGUUGUUUGGGAAUGCAGCUCAAAAUGGGUGGUAAAUGCCAUCUAAAGCUAAAUAUUGGCGAGAGACCGAUAGUGAACAAGUACCGUGAGGGAAAGAUGAAAAGAACUUUGGAAAGAGAGUUAAACAGUACGUGAAAUUGCUGAAAGGGAAAUGCUUGAAGUCAGUCACAUUGGCUAGAAAUCAGCCUUGCUUUUGCUUGGUGUAUUUUCUGGUUGAUGGGUCAGCAUCAAUUUUGAUCAUUGGAUAAAGUCUUUGGGAAUGUAGCAUCUUUGGAUGUGUUAUAGCCCAUUGUCGCAUACAGUGGUUGGGAUUGAGGAACACAGCACGCCGCAAGGCCGGGUUUCGACCACGUUCGUGCUUAGGAUGCUGGCAUAAUGGCUUUAAUCGACCCGUCUUGAAACACGGACCAAGGAGUCUAACAUGCCUGCGAGUGUUUGGGUGGAAAACCCAUGCGCGUAAUGAAAGUGAAAGUUGAGAUCCCUGUAAAGGGGAG